rnacentral:rRNA from 1 species
AUUGAACGCUGGCGGCAGGCCUAACACAUGCAAGUCGAGCGAGCGGCGGACGGGUGAGUAAUGUAUGGGGAUCUGCCCGAUAUAGGGGGAUAACUACUGGAAACGGUGGCUAAUACCUCAUACUGUCCUAUGUACCCAUAUGGGAUUAGCUAGUAGGUGGGGGAAAGGAUCACCUAGGCGACGAUCUCUAGCGGGUCUGAGAGGAUGAGCAGCAAAACUGGGACUGAGAAACGGCCCAGACUCAUACGGGAGGCAGCAGUGGGGAAGAUUGAGCAAUGGGCGAAAGCCUGAUGCAGCCAUGCCGGGUGUAUGAAGAAGGCCUUAGGGUUGUAAAGUACUUUCAGCGGGGAGGCGUUACCCGCAGAAGAAGCAACGGCUAACUCCGUGCCAGCAGCCGCGGUAAUAC